rnacentral:rRNA from 1 species
UUAGUGGCGGACGGGUGAGUAACGCGUGGAAAACCUGCCGUAUACUGGGGGAUAACACUUAGAAAUAGGUGCUAAUACCGCAUAAGCGCACAGCUUCGCAUGAAGCGGUGUGAAAAACUCUGGUGGUAUACGAUGGUUCCGCGUCUGAUUAGCUAGUUGGUGGGGUAAUGGCCUACCAAGGCAACGAUCAGUAGCCGGCCUGAGAGGGUGAACGGCCACAUUAGGACUGAGACACGGCCCAAACUCCUACGGGAGGCAGCAG